UUUUGGACAAUGGGGGCAACCCUGAUCCAGCAAUGCCGCGUGAGUGAAGAAGGCCUUCGGGUUGUAAAGCUCUUUUGUCAGGGAAGACCCAGCAGCUCUAACACAGUCUGCGAAUGACGGUACCUGAAGAAUAAGCACCGGCUAACUACGUGCCAGCAGCCGCGGUAAUACGUAGGGUGCGAGCGUUAAUCGGAAUUACUGGGCGUAAAGCGUGCGCAGGCGGUUAUACAAGACAGGCGUGAAAUCCCCGGGCUUAACCUGGGAAUGGCGCCUGUGACUGUAUAGCUAGAGUGUGUCAGAGGGGGGUAGAAUUCCACGUGUAGCAGUGAAAUGCGUAGAUAUGUGGAGGAAUACCAAUGGCGAAGGCAGCCCCCUGGAUGACACUACGUCAGCAGA
rnacentral:rRNA from 1 species